AGGGUUCGAUCCUGGCUCAGGAUGAACGCUGGCGGCGUGCUUAACACAUGCAAGUCGAACGGAGAGCUCAUGACGGAGUUUUCGGACAACGGAUUGAGUUUCUUAGUGGCGGACGGGUGAGUAACGCGUGAGGAACCUGCCUUGGAGUGGGGAAUAACAGUCCAAAAGGACUGCUAAUACCGCAUAAAGCAGCUGAGUCGCAUGACUCUGGCUGCCAAAGAUUUAUCGCUCUGAGAUGGCCUCGCGUCUGAUUAGCUGGUUGGCGGGGUAACGGCCCACCAAGGCGACGAUCAGUAGCCGGACUGAGAGGUUGGCCGGCCACAUUGGGACUGAGACACGGCCCAG
rnacentral:rRNA from 1 species